UUGAGCGAUUUACUUCGGUAAAGAGCGGCGGACGGGUGAGUAACGCGUGGGUAACCUACCCUGUACACACGGAUAACAUACCGAAAGGUAUGCUAAUACGGGAUAAUAUAUUUGAGAGGCAUCUCUUAAAUAUCAAAGGUGAGCCAGUACAGGAUGGACCCGCGUCUGAUUAGUUAGUUGGUAAGGUAACGGCUUACCAAGGCGACGAUCAGUAGCCGACCUGAGAGGGUGAUCGGCCACAUUGGAACUGAGACACGGUCCAAACUCCUACGGGAGGCAGCAGUGGGGAAUAUUGCACAAUGGGCGAAAGCCUGAUGCAGCAACGCCGCGUGAGUGAUGAAGGCCUUCGGGUCGUAAAACUCUGUCCUCAAGGAAGAUAAUGACGGUACUUGAGGAGGAAGCCCCGGCUAACUACGUGCCAGCAGCCGCGGUAAUACGUAGGGGGCUAGCGUUAUCCGGAUUUACUGGGCGUAAAGGGUGCGUAGGCGGUCUUUCAAGUCAGGAGUGAAAGGCUACGGCUCAACCGUAGUAAGCUCUUGAAACUGGGAGACUUGAGUGCAGGAGAGGAGAGUGGAAUUCCUAGUGUAGCGGUGAAAUGCGUAGAUAUUAGGAGGAACACCAGUUGCGAAGGCGGCUCUCUGGACUGU
rnacentral:rRNA from 1 species